AACGAGGAACAAUUGGAGGGCAAGUCUGGUGCCAGCAGCCGCGGUAAUUCCAGCUCCAAUAGCGUAUAUUAAAGUUGUUGCAGUUAAAAAGCUCGUAGUUGGAUUUCGGGGCGGCCCGACUGGUCCGCCGCGAGGCGAGCACUGGUCGGCCGCCCUUCCUCUCGGAGGCCCCGACUGCUCUUGGUUGCAGUGGUCGGGGAGUUCGGGACGUUUACUUUGAAAAAAUUAGAGUGUUCAAGGCAGGCCGUCGCCUGAAUACAUUAGCAUGGAAUAAUGGAAGAGGACUUUGGUCCCGUGUUGUUGGUUUCUUGGACCGAAGUAAUGAUUAAGAGGGACAGUU
rnacentral:rRNA from 1 species